GAUGAACGCUGGCGGCGUGCCUAAUAAAUGCAAGUCGAGCGAACAGACGAGGAGCUUGCUCCUCUUACGUUAGCGGCGGACGGGUGAGUAACACGUUGAUAACCUACCUAUAAGACUGGGAUAACUUCGGGAAACCGGUGCUAAUACCGGAUAAUAUAUUGAACCGCAUGGUUCAAUAGUGAAAGACGGUUUUGCUGUCACUUAUAGAUGGAUCCGCGCCGCAUUAGCUAGUUAGUAAGGUAACGGCUUACCAAGGCAACGAUGCGUAGCCGACCUGAGAGGGUGAUAGGCCACACUGGAACUGAGACACGGUCCAGACUACUACGGGAGGCAGCAGUAGGGAAUCUUCCGCAAUGGGCGAAAGCCUGACGGAGCAACGCCGCGUGAGUGAUGAAGGUCUUCGGAUCGUGAAACUCUGUUAUUAGGGAAGAACAAAUGUGUAAGUAACUAUGCACGUAUUGACGGUACCUAAUCAGAAAGCAACGGCUAACUACGUG
rnacentral:rRNA from 1 species